CCCGCUGAACUUAAGCAUAUCAAUAAGGCGAGGAACAGAAACCAACUGGGAUUCCCUCAGUAGUGGCGAAUGAAGCGGGAAAAGCUCAAGUUUGAAAUCUGGCGGGUGACUUCCAGAGUUGUAAGCUGAUGAGGUGUCGACCGACGCGGCCCGGGCUCAAUUUCCUUGGAACAGGAGGUCAUGGAGGGUGAGAACCCCGUCUGUGGUCCGAGCGUCGUUGUCCCUGUGUCGUGCCCUCUAAGAGUCGGGUUGUUUGGGAAUGCAGCUCAAAAUGGGUGGUAAAUUUCAUCUAAAGCUAAAUAUUGGCGAGAGACCGAUAGCAAACAAGUAGAGUGAUCGAAAGAUGAAAAGUACUUUGAAAAGAGAGUGAAACAGUACGUGAAAUUGUUGAAAGGGAAGCGUUUGGCAUCAGCCCAUGGCGUCCGUCGAUCAUCCGGGCUUCUGUCCGGUGCACUUGUCGGACGUCGGGCCAGCGUCGGCUCUGUCCAUUGGAGAAAGGCCUUGGGGAUGUGGCUCCCUUCGGGGAGCGUUAUAACCCUUGGCGUAAUGCGAUGUGACGGGGCCGAGGUCCGCGGUUCAUACCUAGGACGCUGGCGUAAUGGUUCCAAGCGACCCGUCUUGAAACACGG
rnacentral:rRNA from 1 species